rnacentral:rRNA from 1 species
AGUCGUAACAAGGUAACCGUAGGUGAACCUGCGGUUGGAUCAUUACCGAUACUUGGCUUGAAGUUGAUACCGAAAGGAGUCCUUCAUUCCAAACUAACCCCUUGUGCACAAAAUUGUUUUUGGGUCACUCUCUGGGUGGCUCAGCAUAUUUAACAAACCAUUAGAACCUGUCUGAAAUUAAAUGAAAAUUUAAACAACUUUUGACAACGGAUCUCUUGGCUCUCGCAACGAUGAAGAACGCAGCGAAAUGCGAUACGUAAUGUGAAUUGCUUUCCGUGAAUCAUCGAAUCUUUGAACGCACAUUGCACUCCUUUUUGGAGUAUGCCUGUUUGAGAAUCUAUAGUAUUACUUUUCCUGUGUUUGAAAAAACACUUGAGAGAUAUGAGGUCUCCCUAUUGCAGGGUUCCUUAAAAUAGAUUGCCUCUAGGAGUUUGAAAUGUUUGACAUUGUCUUUUAUCUUUGAGAAAAGUAUGUGUAUGAAGCUUUGGUUUCUCAUAAUGCCUAUUACCUUUGAUUGACUUUUUAGUUUCAUUCAAAUAGUGGUCCAUAACUAUAAAGCUUUCGAGCUUGAACAAUGGUCUCAAAUCAGGUAGGAAGACCCGCUGAACUUAAGCAUAUCAAUAAGCGGAGGAAGAAGUAAAAGUCG